GAUUACGGCCAUAUCAGCCUGGGUACGCCCGAUCUCGUCUGAUCUCGGAAGCUAAGCAGGGUCGGGCCUGGUUAGUACUUGGAUGGGAGACCGCCUGGGAAUACCAGGUGCUGUAAGCA
rnacentral:rRNA from 1 species